UUAGGGUUCCGUAGCCAAAUGGUAAAAAACGGAACCCUUAUAGAUUCGUCAUGUCUGUCUGUCUGUCUGUCCGUCCGUAUGUCACAGCCCCUUUUUUUCGAAACUAUAAGAGCUAUACUGUUGAAACUUGGUAAGUAGAUGUAUUCUGUGAACCGCAUUAAGAUUUUCACACAAAAUUAAAAAAAAACAAUAAAUUUUGGGGGUUCCCCAUACUUAGAACUGAAACUCAAAAAAAUUUUUUUAUCAAACCCAUACGUAUAGAAAAUCUAUGGAUAGAUCUUCAAAAAUGAUAUUGAGGUUUCUAAUAUAUUUUUUUUCUAAACUGAAUAGUUUGCGCGAGAGACACUUCCAAAGUGGUAAAAUGUGAGUCCCCCCCCCCCCCCCCUGUAACUUUUAAAAUAAGAGAAUGAUAAAACAAAAAAAAAUAUAUGAUGUACAUUACCAUGCAAACUUCCACCGAAAAUUGAUUUGAACGAGAUCUAGUAAGUAGUUUUUUUUAAUACGUCAUAAA